GAUGAACGCGGCGGCGUGCCUAAUACAUGCAAGUCGAACGAGUUCUGAUUAUUGAAAGGUGCUUGCAUCUUGAUUUAAUUUUGAACGAGUGGCGGACGGGUGAGUAACACGUGGGUAACCUGCCCUUAAGUGGGGGAUAACAUUUGGAAACAGAUGCUAAUACCGCAUAAAUCCAAGAACCGCAUGGUUCUUGGCUGAAAGAUGGCGUAAGCUAUCGCUUUUGGAUGGACCCGCGGCGUAUUAGCUAGUUGGUGAGGUAACGGCUCACCAAGGCAAUGAUACGUAGCCGAACUGAGAGGUUGAUCGGCCACAUUGGGACUGAGACACGGCCCAAACUCCUACGGGAGGCAGCAGUAGGGAAUCUUCCACAAUGGACGCAAGUCUGAUGGAGCAACGCCGCGUGAGUGAAGAAGGCUUUCGGGUCGUAAAACUCUGUUGUUGGAGAAGAAUGGUCGGCAGAGUAACUGUUGUCGGCGUGACGGUAUCCAACCAGAAAGCCACGGCUAACUACGUGCCAGCAGCCGCGGUAAUACGUAGGUGGCAAGCGUUAUCCGGAUUUAUUGGGCGUAAAGCGAGCGCAGGCGGUUUUUUAAGUCUGAUGUGAAAGCCCUCGGCUUAACCGAGGAAGUGCAUCGGAAACUGGGAAACUUGAGUGCAGAAAAGGACAGUGGAACUCCAUGUGUAGCGGUGAAAUGCGUAGAUAUAUGGAAGAACACCAGUGGCGAAGGCGGCUGUCUGGUCUGUAACUGACGCUGAGGCUCGAAAGCAUGGGUAGCGAACAGG
rnacentral:rRNA from 2 species